UCUGCCUUUAGAAGUGCUGCAGGCGUGGCUGCUGUGUCACAUAUGUGUCAGUAGGUGGCAGAGAGGAGAGAGGCUAUGUCUAUGAUCAGUGUUCUGACCUUUGAACAUUUGAAUUAGUAGCCUAAUAGU